rfam:Schistosoma mansoni, Puerto Rico, WGS project CABG01000000 data, contig: 0208
AUCCAGCUGACGACUCCCAAAUAGGACGAAACGCGCGUCAAACUGGAU